rnacentral:rRNA from 1 species
AAACGUUUCGUGAUCCCAACCCGCACCCGAGCCAGAGCAAACCCUACCCGAGCGAAUCCUCCCGCACACCCUGCCUCCACCGCACCCAUCGUCCCCAAUCCUGCGCCGCCGCCCCCGUCGCCCAAACUUCCACGGCCCAUCACCUCCACACGCCGCCGAGCUGCAGCGCCGGCAGCUGCCACUGCCGCAGCCUCGCAGGGUUGGGGACGAAGGGCACAACCUAGCCAAGGGACGGCCAUGGAGGGCAGCAGGCACGAGAAGGGGAGCCAAAGGGAAGGAAGGAGGGCGGCGCGACGGCUGAAAGCUUCACCGAAACCAGGCGGACGGCGGCGCUUCCGCGCGAGGCAUGACGGGGGGUAGGGGCGGGCCUCCCCGACCUUCGAUCCCCUCGCUUCAACGGCGGCGGCACCCCGUCCUUUUCUAAGGCUUGCAACCACGUCCAGCUCGACGUCCUGUGCUUCGGGGAUGGUGGCGCUUCUGCUCCUCGUGCGGGAGGAUGAUGCAAAAUCGUGGAUGAAGUUCGGGAACUCCUGGUCUUGACCGACGCCCUCUGCUCCGGUCCCCGACACAGCAACCAGAUCGUGGGUGCCAUCCUGCCCUAAGGUUACAUGCACUACCUGUCUCUCCUUGAUCUGAUCUCUCAAAGUCCCGAUCUAUUUCAGCAAAACUAUCUUCUAUCUAUUUGAUACUCUUUUUUGGUAAACAGUUUUAACCUAUUGUAAUUGCUCUCAUUCUGGAGCGAGGUCACUAUUGACAAGUCAUUGCAGUGCUACUACCGCAUUAAUCUUAGCAGUGAAGCUAUGGUCUGUUCUUUGGUACAACAAUGAAAUGUUAAUAUGCCAUUCUCCUUUAUGCUUUGUGUCAGUGCACUGUGGUAUGACACCAACACUUAUUUGGCACCUACAUUGCAUCGACAAUUUGCCAGCUUACAGUUUGUACCAUCGAGAAUUUGCACGACUUUACACCUGCAGCUGUACCACUAUACUAUAAAUAUGUUUUGAUGUCUAAACUGGUGUUGGUACUGAACCUGAUAGUGUAUUUGGCGUAUCUUUUCU